rnacentral:rRNA from 1 species
CACGGGGGGAGCAAGCGUUGUUCGGAAUCACUGGGCGUAAAGGGCGUCUAGGCGGUCAGGUAAGUGGGAUGUGAAAUCCCUCGGCUCACCCGAGGACCUGCAUCCCAAACUGCUUGGCUUGAGUAUGGGAGAGGAUGAGGGAAUUCCUGGUGUAGCGGUGGAAUGCGCAGAUAUUGCUCGGAAGGCCGGAGCCGAAGGGGCCCCACUGGUACGUAACUGACGCUGAGGCACGAAAGCGUGGGGAGCAAACAGG